rnacentral:piRNA from 1 species
UGAAACGUUUGACUCUAUUGGUGCUU